GACCUCGCUCUAAGCGGUGAGUGAGAAGAGCCGAGAGGGGCUAACUGA
rnacentral:ncRNA from 1 species